rnacentral:lncRNA from 1 species
GGGGUUUACAAGUUUGUCAGUCUCCUUUUAGGGUUAUACUCUUUAGACUGCUUGUUAUGUUCUAAACUGGAUUCUAAAUUAAUCAGUUGCAAAGACUCCAUAUGAGAUAUAGACUAGGCGUAAGCCGAUACUUUCUUACCUUAGGGUUUGGGAGUAUUUAUUUUAUGUCGAGCAAUUAUAGACAGAUUAGUUUGGAUCCUGGUCUUAUA